GCCAGUGUGGCAUAAAGGUUUGAAUGCUGGACCAUGAAUCUGGAGACCAGGGUUCGAUUCCCAACUUGGCCA